rnacentral:rRNA from 1 species
UACGGGGGGGGCAAGCGUUGUUCGGAAUUACUGGGCGUAAGGCUUGUAGGUGGCCAACUAAGUCAAACGUGAAAUCCCUCGGCUUAACCGGGGAACUGCGUCUGAUACUGGAUGGCUCGAGUGUGGGAGAGGGAUGCGGAAGUUCCAGGUGUAGCGGUGAAAUGCGUAGAUAUCUGGAGGAACACCGGUGGCGAAGGCGGCAUCCUGGACCGACACUGACGCUGAGGAGCGAAAGCCAGGGAGCAACGGG